UACAGAGGGGGCAAGCGUUGUUCGGAAUUACUGGGCGUAAAGGGCGCGUAGGCGGCCCGCUAAGUCGAACGUGAAAUCCCCGGGCUCAACCCGGGAACUGCGUCCGAUACUGGUGGGCUUGAAUCCGGGAGAGGGAUGCGGAAUUCCAGGUGUAGCGGUGAAAUGCGUAGAUAUCUGGAGGAACACCGGUGGCGAAGGCGGCAUCCUGGACCGGUUCUGACGCUGAGGCGCGAAAGCGUGGGUAGCAAACAGG
rnacentral:rRNA from 1 species